rnacentral:rRNA from 1 species
AGACGAACCGUACGAACGUUAUUCGGAAUUACUGGGCUUAAAGGGUGCGUAGGCUGCACGGAAAGUUGAGUGUGAAAGCCCUCAGCUCAACUGAGGAAUUGCAUCCAAAACUGCCGUGCUUGAGGGAGACAGAGGUGAGCGGAACUCAAGGUGGAGCGGUGAAAUGCGUUGAUAUCUUGAGGAACACUGGUGGCGAAAGCGGCUCACUGGGUCUCUUCUGACGCUGAGGCACGAAAGCUAAGGUAGCAAACGGGAUUAGAAACCCCGGUAGUCC